rnacentral:rRNA from 1 species
GACGAACGCUGGCGGCGUGCUUAACACAUGCAAGUCGAACGGAAAGGCCCUGCUUUUGUGGGGUGCUCGAGUGGCGAACGGGUGAGUAACACGUGAGUAACAUGCCCUUGACUUUGGGAUAACUUCAGGAAACUGGGGCUAAUACCGGAUAGGAGCUCCUGCUGCAUGGUGGGGGAUGGAAAGUUUCGGCGGUUGGGGAUGGACUCGCGGCUUAUCAGCUUGUUGGUGGGGUAGUGGCUUACCAAGGCUUUGACGGGUAGCCGGCCUGAGAGGGUGACCGGCCACAUUGGGACUGGGGUACGGCCCAGACUCCUACGGGAGGCAGCGGUGGGGGAUAUUGCACGAUGGGCGGAGGCCUGAUGCAGCAACGCCGCGUGCGGGAUGACUGCCUUCGGGUUGUAAACCGCUUUCGCCUGUGACGAAGAGUGAGUGACGGUAAUGGGUAAAGAAGCACCGGCUAACUACGUG